rnacentral:rRNA from 1 species
UACGUAGGGUGCAAGCGUUGUCCGGAAUUAUUGGGCGUAAAGAGCGUGUAGGCGGCCAGGCAGGUCCGCUGUGAAAACUCGAGGCUCAACCUCGAGAGGUCGGUGGAAACCGUCUGGCUAGAGUCCGGAAGAGGAGAGUGGAAUUCCCGGUGUAGCGGUGAAAUGCGCAGAUAUCGGGAAGAACACCCGUGGCGAAGGCGGCUCUCUGGGACGGUACUGACGCUGAGGAGCGAAAGCGUGGGUAGCAAACAGG